ensembl:lncRNA
CUUUGGAGUUGCUUUUUGUUUCUCGAUAAGAACCAAGGACCAUGUCUAAAAGCAGCCAGGAACCCUGGAGAGAAAAGUGUCUGAAGGCUUGCAAUGCUCAUAUCUAAGUGGAAGCUCUUCCUGGAAGGCUGGAAGAGAAGCCUGGGAAGCCAGGUGCUCGUGCUUGCUUGGCAUCUGGAAAUCUUGCAGGAAACGUCUGGUGAGAGAAUGACUGAAAAGGAAAAGGGGGAGUGGGGAACAGGAGAAGAAAAAAAGAAGAAAGAAGAGGGAGAGAUACAAAGGAAGAAGGGGAGUGAAUAACAACAAGUGGAGUGGAUAGAGUGAGUGAGAUAGAACAACCGUAUAUUGCUUUUGCCUUAGACGUCUUUCCCUAUGGAAAAUGGAAAUCAAAGACCAUUUCCAUGAUGGAUCUUGUUCAAAAUAUUAUUGCUGGAACCCACCUGGUAAAGUGGCAAUUUUGUGGGAUGUUCAUGGAAAAUUGCUUUCCAUCUGCUAGAGGAAGCAAAUCUUGCUGAGACAUCUGACAGACACACAGUUGUUUGGUCUUGGACACGCACUUUUCCAUGGUGACAGAAGCCAUGCCACGGAAAUAUAUGCGUCACUCAUCUACAUUGUUUUCUUUGCAUCUCUAAGGAUUGCACAUGAGUUUUGGAAAGAAGGAUAGGGUUUUAUUGUUUCUUUUAAUGAUAAAACAUUUUAAAUGGUCAUUAUUUUGAAUCAUCAGAAGAUACAGAUAAGUAUAAACAAGAAAACAAAGAUUACAUAUUAGUCAAAACAUCCAGAGGUGAUAAUUAUUAACAGUUGGUAUUCCAGAUUUUGUUUUAAUACAAAAAAUAGAUGUAUAUAUUAUAUAUAUAUACGUAUACUACAUUAUGUAAUCUUUUGUUGAAUAUGUUGAGGACAUCUCUGUCCAUUUUUAAAAAUAUUAUUACACAGCUUUCUGUUUCCCUAUGGAAAAUAUUUAGGUUUGCCAAUUUUUGAUUAUUCUAAAUUACACAGUAAAGAACAUUCUUGUGGAGGCAUUUUUUGUGCAUUUAUUUCCUUAGGAUAAAUUCUUAGAUGUGAGCGUUUAAGUGUCAAUAUGCACAUUUUAAAAUGCUAUAUCAAUUUGCCAAAUUGCCCUCCAGAAAGUCUGAACCAAUUUACAUUCUCUUUGAAGUGUAUGAAAGUACCUAUUAUCUCAUGCCCUCAUCAACGCUAGUUAUUAUCGUUCUUUUCAAACUUUUCUAGUUUUAUAGGUUAAAAGGUAUUUUCAUUUUUAAUUGGCAUUUCAUAUAUUCCUAGUGAGGUAAAAUAAUUUUCACAUUUUUUGGUUAUUUGCAUUUCACCUUUUUUGUGUAACCUGCCUGACAGUGUUUCAACUGUAUUUUUCCAAUGUGUUUUUUGUCUUUUCCUUAAUUUCUAAGAGUUCUUCAUAAUGCAAAGAUAUUAACCCUUUGCUACCAUAUAUGUUGUGAAUUCUUUUUUUAGUUUUUCAUAACUCUGAAUAUGUAGACAUAGAGAUGUUUUAUUUUAUUUUAAGGAAUCAGUAUACCUACAAUGUUCCUGUUGUUUUUUUCUUUUGAUUGAUGGAUAGAAAAGUAUCCUUCAUUCCAAGAUUACCUAUGUUUUUACUAUCCUCUUUUGUUUUUUUACAUUUAUAUUUUCAAGUCAUAUAGAAUUUGCUUUGUAGCAUAAGACAGGGAUCUAAACUUUUUUCCUGACUUACCAAUGAGUUGUCUCAUUAACAUAUGGACUAAAUAAUCUGUAUUCUUCCUACUGAUUUGAAAUGACUUGUUUACCAUGCUAAAUUCUCACAGACACCCGAGUUCUUCUGUUACUUGUUUCUUGUAGUUUUCUGAAACCCUAAAUCCAUGUAUGUUAGUCUUUUAGAACUAGCUAUCAUUUUAACUAUCUAGAUUGAAAAUUCUUAUUCCAUAGACUCCACAAGAUGGUUGAAUAAUCGAUGCUACUUUUAAUAGAAAGAACGAGGUCUAUUUCCAUCCUAAGGAGGUGUGGGAAAGGGUAGAGUUUUCUCCCUGGGUCAUAGGGUUUUGAUAUGGAAAGGUAUAAAGACCAUCUGUUCCAAAGCCCUAAUUUUACAAAUAUUAAUUGACUUGUUUAUAGUUAACAUAGCUAGCAGUGCAGAGCUGAGACUCAAACCAAGUCAUAUUCCCCUAAAUCCAUGCUAGAGGAAGAUGGUUAGAGUGAGGGUCUAUCAAGGACAGCAAAAGCAGAGUUAAUAAAAGGAGGAUCCUUUCUGUUCUACA